CACAGAGAAGGAGGCUUGUUGUGAAACUGAGUCAGAAGGAUGCUCUUAUAGCAGACUUUCAAGACAACCCUUAGCCCGGGAUAACAACCAGAGGAUGACUGGCCUGAGAACUUGGUAUUCCAGAAAGCAGAAUUCAGGUACACAAGAGAUCAUGAUUCCCUUGAUUCCUCCUCACCCUUUUCACACUCUCUACCUCUUUCUCCCACUCCCUCUCAGCUUCUCUCUCUCUCUCUCUCUCUCUCUCUCUCUCUCCCCCUCUCUCUCUCCCUCUCCCCCUCCCUCCCUCCCUCCCUCUCUCUCUCUCUCGGUGCCCAGGGGCAGAGACAACAAUCCGGCCUAAGCAAUCUGGACUCAAGUUGGUAGGGUCAGUAUUUUGGCGGCCAGGGCUUAAUCUGGUUGUGUCAUUGUUUGAAGACUGUCAUUCUCAAGAAUCACACAAACCCUGACAGGACUGGAAGGUCGGUCUUAGGGAAAAUGCCUGAAGUUAGGAUUUACCCAUGGGGCCCAUAUUUUACCCAGUAAGCCAUGUGCUAGAAACGUUUCAAUUGGGAGGACACGCUAGGUGGAGUACCUAUGUCUCUGUCUUGGGGUAUGGCUCCUGGGUGCUCCAGACAGCACGAACUCACAUCCAAGGCAGGAAGAGGCAUCCCUUCAGAGAAUGUGGCCAGAGGGAACUGAGUGGCUGGAGGCCCGCAUGAACAGGUGGUCAGGAAGGAAGGGUCUGGAGACCAGGGAGCAUGAGAGGCUGGCUGGUCCACGGAGUUGGCCCUUGAUGGCUCAGGAUGGCCUCCAGUGAAUCACCUGUGAGUGAGGUCUUCUUUUCUGCUCAGGGUGGAGGGGAACAAGUCAAUGGAGGAAGAGAGUUAGCUUUGGGAUGAAAGGCCCAAGGCCAUGCGUGAGGGCCAGGAAGACUGGUGGUCUUUCCCUAGCAAAACGUCUUCUUGGUUUCACGACAGUUUCUACAGGCACCUUUCAGAAACAUCUACAAAAAGAAACACACUAGUGCCUAUGGGCACUCACAGAGACACACGAGGCCAGGUCCACCACACUCACUGCAGUUCGGUCUUGGGUCGUGAGGCAGCAAAGCACGGGUUCAGUGUGGGAGGAAAGAACAUGUAUUUCAAAGAUUUCCAAGACAGGGAUCAGAUCCAUUAGAGUCUCCUGACCUGGUAGUAACAGGGACGUGUCCUCCCUCUGAAGGCUCAGGAAAGGAGAAGUUGCCAGGCAAGAUGGGAUUUUUAUUAUGGCCAUCUGGGUUGAAGAGAUGCUGAGAGAGGGCAUAUUGCAGUGGAUUGUUGUGCAUUCUGAAACAGUCCUGUCCCCCUUAGAGACCUGAGAGGCAAGGAACCUUCAUCAGGCAGCAGCCACAGCAAAGAGGAGGAGAGAUCGAGUGAGCAGGAGACAGAGCAGUGACAGAGAGGGGCAGGGAGGCGGCAACACAGACACAGGCAUCAACAGGUAGAUGGAGAGAAUCAGAGCCAGAGACAGAAAGACCGACAGAGAAUCUGGCAGGAUGGAUGGGAAGGGUGACGAUGAAGAAAAUAAGCGGGGGGAGGAAGAAGGGGAGAAAAACUAUUAGCGAUCUCCUGCGUACAUUGGGAAUGCAAACAUUGUCUCCUCUUCUGUCAUCAUUGGUCUUGAGUUUUGACACCAGGAAGGGGACUAACAAAAGGAACGAUUAUCUUCACGGAGGCGGCUUGUAUAUUCUGGAACUGUACCUUCUAUGGGGAGACCCGGCCCUUGGGUUCAUAGCUUGUUCCCCUGGGGGCUGAAUGGCCUUGGGUCAUAAGGGAAGUUUGUGAUACUUCCAUCAGGCGUGGUUCGCCCUAGCUCGCUAUGUGCUGCUUCUCCCCGUUUUUGAAAAGAAGGCAUCUUCAUGCCACAUCAGGCUUCGCCUCAAAGGAGAACACGUUUGGAGUGCCUUUCAAGUGAUGCAAACUCCCUGUACCAAACCAGUGCACAGAGUUCAUUGGGCAGCACUUUGGCUUGUUUUCCUAGGUAUAGGACAGGACUAGAUGGGAAAAAGGCAAGGUUUGGUCUCCGAAGUAAACCCGCACUGGGGCUGGUGUUCACUCACUGAAUAGGAUACACUUUGCAAGGAGAAACGUUGCACAUUCAUCUUUUGUGGAGUUUGUGAGAUUUCCGUCCGGCGUGGAUUGCCCUAGGUCACUGUGUGCUGCUUUUCCCCGCUUGUGAAAAGAAGGCGUUUUCAUGCCACAUCAGGCUUCUCCUCAAAGGAGAACACGUUUGGAGUGCCUUUCAAGCGAUGCAAACUCCCUGCACCAAACCAGUGCACAGAGAGCACUGGGUGGCACCUUGGCUCCUUUGCCCUAUGUAUAGGAGUGGCCUAGGUGGGAAAGAGGCAAGGGUUGCUUUCCCGAGCAAACCCGCACUGGGGCUGGUGUUCGUUCACUGAGACAGGAACUCCUGCGUGUUACAGCUCUUAAAGUC
rnacentral:lncRNA from 1 species